GCCGAUGUGGCGGAACUGGCAGACGCGCUAGACUCAAAAUCUAGUACUCGCAAGAGUGUGUGGGUUCGACCCCCUCCGUCGGCACCA
rnacentral:tRNA from 1 species